rnacentral:rRNA from 1 species
CCUACGGGUGGCAGCAGUGGGGAAUAUUGCACAAUGGGGGAAACCCUGAUGCAGCAACGCCGCGUGAGUGAAGAAGUAUUUCUGUAUGUAAAGCUCUAUCAGCAGGGAAGAAGAUGACGGUACCUGAGUAAGAAGCCCCGGCUAACUACGAGCCAGCAGCCGCGGUAAUACGUAGGGGGCAAGCGUUAUACGGAUUUACUGGGUGUUAAGGGAGCGUAGUCGGUGUGACAAGUCUGAAGGGAAAGCACGGGGCUCAACCCCGGGAGUGCUUUUGAAACUGCCAGCCUGGAGUGCAGGAGAGGCAAGCGGAAUUCGUGGUGUAGCGGUGAAAUGCUUAGAUAUUAGGAAGAACACCGAUGGCGAAGGCAGCUUGCUGGACAGUAACUGACGUUGAGGCUCGAAAGCGUGGGGAGCAAACAGGAUUAGAUACCCCAGUAGUC